AGCUUUGUGCAGAGGCAAUAUCGUAGCCAAUGAGGUUUAUCCAAGGCACGAUUACUGCUAAUUGAAAACUUUUCCCGAUACGCCACCAUGAUGACUUGAAAUAUAGUCGGCAUUGGCAAUUUUUGCCUGUCUCUGCCGAGA
ensembl:snRNA U4 U4 spliceosomal RNA